CACGGACCAAGGAGUCUAACAUGUACGCGAGUCAUUGGGACCGAGCGAUACCUAAAGGCGUAAUGAAAGUGAAGGUCGUCCCUGGUUGUCGACCGAGGGAGGAUGGGCCGCGUCGCGAUGCGGCUCCGCACUCCCGGGGCGUCUCGUUCUCAUCGCGAGAAGAGGCGCACCCAGAGCGUACACGUUGGGACCCGAAAGAUGGUGAACUAUGCCUGGUCAGGACGAAGUCAGGGGAAACCCUGAUGGAGGUCCGUAGCGAUUCUGACGUGCAAAUCGAUCGUCGGAACUGGGUAUAGGGGCGAAAGACUAAUCGAACCAUCUAGUAGCUGGUUCCCUCCGAAGUUUCCCUCAGGAUAGCUGGCACUCGGCCGUUCCGCACGGAACGCGCGCGAGUCUCAUCUGGUAAAGCGAAUGAUUAGAGGCCUUGGGGCCGAAACGACCUCAACCUAUUCUCAAACUUUAAAUGGGUGAGAUCUCUGGCUUUCUUGAACUAUGAAGCCACGAGCAUCUCGGAUCAGAGUGCCAAGUGGGCCAUUUUUGGUAAGCAGA
rnacentral:rRNA from 1 species